AUGACAAGCACUAAGAUGAGCAGAAUGUUCUGUUCUUGGAGUCAGUGUUGGUGCUCAGAUCGCCCUUCUCAGAGCAAUAUCCUCUUAGCCUGUCUGAACUUCUUUUCAUCAACAUGUUUUGUUCUAUGUCAGCUUGAAGGGAGGAUAGAAGCUAUUCAAACUAGUCGUCUUAAAGGAAUUGAGGUGGGCAUGAUUAAAAUGCCUUCACAUCCUUCUGGAAAGAAGAGUUUUCUGUCUGUCUCAACUUUCUUUUGUUGCUGCAGGAAGAGAAUGUUUGUCUUCAUGCUCAGAAAGAUCUGUCUUUGUUGCUAUGAAUUACUGAAUCAGCCUGCUUUGUUUUGAACUUGUUUUUUUCAGUUUGCUUUUUUCCCCUUAGCCUGCCUUAUAAGAAGUUCGUAUGCUGAGAACUGUGAGUUAAGGAGUUGUUUUGAUUCUGUUCUAGCAUAAGUAGAUUUUUGCAUUAAAACUAAAUGUUAAGCAAAGAGCAAAAGGCGAUCAAUCACUUCUAAUAGUUAGCAUCGCUGAAUGCAAUCUGUGAUUCAAUUAAUGUUCUGCUAAGAAAAAAAAUAAAUCCAAAACACACUGACCCA
rnacentral:lncRNA from 1 species